GAUGAACGCUGGCGGCGUGCAUAAUACAUGCAAGUCGAGCGAACAGAUAAGGAGCUUGCUCCUUUGACGUUAGCGGCGGACGGGUGAGUAACACGUGGAUAACCUACCUAUAAGACUGGGAUAACUUCGGGAAACCGGAGCUAAUACCGGAUAAUAUAUUGAACCGCAUGGUUCAAUAGUGAAAGGCGGCUUUGCUGUCACUUAUAGAUGGAUCCGCGCCGUAUUAGCUAGUUGGUAAGGUAACGGCUUACCAAGGCAACGAUACGUAGCCGACCUGAGAGGGUGAUCGGCCACACUGGAACUGAGACACGGUCCAGACUCCUACGGGAGGCAGCAGUAGGGAAUCUUCCGCAAUGGGCGAAAGCCUGACGGAGCAACGCCGCGUGAGUGAUGAAGGUCUUCGGAUCGUAAAACUCUGUUAUCAGGGAAGAACAAAUGUGUAAGUAACUGUGCACAUCUUGACGGUACCUGAUCAGAAAGCCACGGCUAACUACGUG
rnacentral:rRNA from 1 species